UACAGAGGUGGCAAGCGUUGCUCGGUAUCACUGGGCUUAAAGGGCGCGUAGGCGGUGCGGUGCGGUUUCGGUGUAAUCCCUCGGCCCAACCGAGGAACAGCCGGAGCAACGGCCGCGCUAGACGGCAUCAGGGGACAGUGGAACUCCUGGUGUAGCGGUGGAAUGCGCAGAUAUCAGGAGGAACACCGAUGGCGAAGGCAGGUCUCUGGGCCACUACUGACGCUGAGAAGCGAAAGCAUGGGGAGCGAACAGG
rnacentral:rRNA from 1 species